GUGGAAUUGGAGAGUCGGCAAAUGAUUCUUCGAGUUUGACAUUCUUUUUCUUCUUCUUCUUCCUGAAGGAUGUGCCGAAAAAUUUGGAGGCGCCGUUUUUCUUCCCGUUUGUUUUCUUGGAUUUCGAAUAGAAAUGAACUUCAUGUUCAGAUAUGGAUUUGGUUGAUGGUUUUUGCUGGAAAAAAAUCAUGGUGAAAAAAUUGGAGGUUUGCUCUUGAAA